rnacentral:rRNA from 1 species
UUCUGGCUACGAGGACGAACGCUGGCGGCGUGCCUAACACAUGCAAGUCGAGCGGAGAUGAUGUGAGGAAGUUUUCGGAUGGAAUCACAUUAUUUUAGCGGCGGACGGGUGAGUAACGCGUGAGCGACCAACCUUGCACAGGGGGAUAACGGACCGAAAGGUUCACUAAUACCGCAUGAGACCACAGUGUUGCAUGACACAGGGGUCAAAGGAGCAAUCCGGUGCAAGACGGGCUCGCGUCCGAUUAGGUAGUUGGUGGGGUAACGGCCCACCAAGCCUAUGAUCGGUAGCCGACCUGAGAGGGUGAUCGGCCACAUUGGAACUGAGAUACGGUCCAAACUCCUACGGGAGGCAGCAGUUGGGGAAUAUUGGGGACCAAUGGGGGAAACCCUGACCCAGCAACGCCGCGUGAAGGAAGAAGGUUUUCGGAUUGUAAACUUCUGUCCUUGGUGAAGAGAAGAAGACGGUAGCCAAGGAGGAAGCCCCGGCUAACUACGUGCCAGCCGCCGC